UACGUAGGGCGCAAGCGUUGUCCGGGAAUUAUUGGGCGUAAAGAGCUCGUAGGCGGCUUGUCGCGUCUGUUGUGAAAGCCCGGGGCUUAACCCCGGGUCUGCAGUGGAUACGGGCAGGCUAGAGGCAGGUAGGGGAGAACGGAAUUCCCGGUGUAGCGGUGAAGUGCGCAGAUAUCGGGAGGAACACCGGUGGCGAAGGCGGUUCUCUGGGCCUGUACUGACGCUGAGGAGCGAAAGCGUGGGGAGCGAACAGG
rnacentral:rRNA from 1 species